AAUCUGUAACAAAUAUCUGUGACGGUUACUUACUAAUUAGUGACAAAAAUAAAAAUAAACUAUUUUGUAGUAAAUUUGUAGAAUUUUGUAGGAUUAUAGUGACAAUUUAGUUACAAAUAUAUUUUGUGGUAAAUUGUUACUAAAAUUUAUCCUCUAUUUCGACCCAGGUUUUAUUCAACAUCUUCCUUUUAAGUCUUAAUACUUUCGUUUAUUGGUUUGAAGGUGUAACUCAUCUUCAUCCCUUCGCUGGUGAUGAGCCAAGCGCCGUCGUCUACGGCGGAAUCGAACGGACAAGAGAUUGAUUUAGAGGUUAUGGUCUCCGGUGAUUGGCGAUGGUGGCUGGGUCGCUUGAUUUAUGGCUCUUCUAUCUCCAGUUAGGGUUUGCGACAGUAAUAGGUUAUCAAUUUCGAUUGAUGUUUUUUUUUUUGCUGCUUCACAUAGAGCAGGUUGUUUUCUUCACACUCUUCUAUAUAUGUUACACAAUUGUUUCUGCUUCACAUAGAUCUCAUCUUGAGUUUCCUCUGCGUUUGUAGUUUUUAAACGAUGGAUAGUAAUUCGUUGAUAUUUCGGUUUCUCUAAUCUUUCCCCAUUUUAAGUAUUGGCUAAUUUUGAUUUGAGAGACUGAAACUUUGUUUUAAUGCAGCCAUUUUGUAUUUCAAGGAGGGAAAUUAUAGUUGCGCAGAGAUGUAUACUCAACCAUUGUUGAUUUACAGAGGAUGAAGAAGUAAAGAGGCAGAUGCGGAGUUUGUCACUUCGAGGAGGAGAAGAAGAACAAAGCGACGAGGAGCAGAUCCCGGCUCGGUUCUCUUUGUCUUCUCCCUACUCUAAUCUUCGCGCAACUAAAACCACCCAAGGCCAUCAGGGGAGGUUUACCUGUCUGCUUUCCACAGCUAUGUUUUAAAAGCAAGAUUCAAGACUCCUUCCAAGGAUAGUGUGUUCGUCUACUUUUUUUAUAUUAUGUUUUUAGGAGUAUCACUACAGUUUUUAGAAGUAUUCUUAUUUUUAAUUAUGU